AUUGAACGCUGGCGGCAGGCCUAACACAUGCAAGUCGAGCGUAGCGUCGGACGGGUGAGUAAUUCCUACGAAUCUGCCUGGUACUGGGGUAUAACGUCCGGAAACGGGCGCUAAUACCACAUACUAUCAGAUGAGCCUAGGUCGGAUUAGCUAGUUGGUGGGGUAAAGGCCUACCAAGGCGAAUAUCCGUAACUGGUCUGAGAGGAUGAUCAGUCAAACUGGAACUGAGACACGGUCCAGACUCCUACGGGAGGCAGCAGGGGGGAAGAUUGGACAAUGGGCGAAAGCCUGAUCCAGCCAUGCCGCGUGUGUGAAGAAGGUCUUCGGAUUGUAAAGCACUAUAAGUUGGGAGGCGUUACCAACAGAAUAAGCACCGGCUAACUUCGUGCCAGCAGCCGCGGUAAUUC
rnacentral:rRNA from 1 species